rnacentral:lncRNA from 1 species
GGAUCCAAAGAAUUAUGGCAAAAAUUCUAAAUAUCAUUCUAAUUUUUCUCCAUAGUUUUGUUUUUCUAGAAGGGGUUAGUUUUCCACACGUCAAUUCUCCCUGCUCCAUCCAGGUAAGUGGACCACCUUCAUUCUUAUCAUCGGGCAAGUGGAAUGCUCUCGUUCUUGCCAUCCGAAGGUGGGUCUCUCUAAUUUUUUUUUUUAUUUUUAUUUUUUUGGGAUGUCUAUGAUUAUUUGAGUAGAAUUCUUUGAUCUAAUUUUUUAUUUUUAAUGUUUUGUGUUUUUUCUCAUAAUUACAUGUACGUUAGAAGGCUCAUAUAUCGUCCUCUAUUUCGACGAAGGGAGGCAUAGCGAAGACUCAUGAAAUAGAGCUCAAAAGAUGCAAUUGAAUGGUUGAAGAUUGCAUUCUUACUCGUUGGUGCCAGAUCUGGGGAGUUAUAAUUGAUCUAUCCGGCAACAUCCUUCUCUCAUUUGGAUCUGAUUGCUGUAUAUGUUUUAUAGCUGGGUUUGUUUUCUAUAGUGGUUCUGGUUGACUAGAUAUAGAGAUGACAAUGGAUCGGGUAUUUUCGGGUACCUGAUCCGACCGAACCCUAAUAAAAUGGAUUUGGAUAGUUAUAAUCGGGUUUGGGAUGUGUUUGAAUUUUAAAAAUAAUACCCGUUACGGAUUCGG